AACCCGUGACAAGACCAAUUGAGCAAUGAUGGUGACUUUUAUCCUUGGCUAAUAAGGGGAAGGAAGAGUCACGCACUUUAUUAUGAUGACGUCAGAGGCUCUCUGGGUCACUCUGGCAGCCAUCUUCGAUCCAACUGGUUUCUGUCGUCCUCCUCAGAAGAACUGGCCUUCAGGCAUCCAGUCCUCAAAGACAAGCGGGAGUAGGACAGGGUAAAAAUUCAGCUACGCCGUCCAGGCCGUCCAAGAACAGGCUGAGGCUGCAGCAUCCACCAUCCAGGGGUUUGUGUUGAUGGCACUUGGAAAUCUGAAUCCAGAGAGGCUUUGCCUUAGUCAGUUUGUGAUGGUACUGAAAGCCACAGGGUGGACCAGGUGACCCAGGCAGUGGUAGACAGAGAUCGGAAGAGGCCCUAGAACUGAUCCUGAGGACCCCCAACAAAGGAGAAGGAACUGGCAAACAUUAUUUGACUGUGACUCUUCAGAAGAAGUUACUUAAACAAGAAGAGGAAAAUUCAGAAAAUACAGUUUAUAUUUUGAAAGGAUUAACAUGGCUUACCAAUUGUUGCUAAUGACCAUAGUAGUGUUUUACACGCAGCUAGGUGGCAGAUAGUUGAUAAGUUAAAUGGCAAUUGUGUAUUGACUGACUCAGUGUUUCUUCUUUUGUUGAGGUUAUGAUAAACUUGGGGAAAUUUAUUUGCUUUAAGCAGCCUAUUCAGGCUGGAGGAGAUUGAUCUCCUGGGUUUCCCCAGCACCUCUCAAGCCUGCAGGAGACUUCAGAUUGGGUUUUCCAACUCUACUGUCCUCACUGUCAUCUGCAUGUCAAAGUAUAAUUCUAGUGCUGUCUCAGGAGCACAGGCUCUCCCAGAACUUUUUCCUUUCAGUGAAGGCAAAAGAGGUGACCUUGUUUUAAUACCUUUCCAGUGCUUUCUCAGGGGAUAUGGAACCCAGGGGUGCUUAACCACAGAACCACAUCCCCAGCACGUUUUAUAUUUUGUUUAGAGACAGGGUCUCCUUAAAUUGCUGAGGCUAGCUUUAAACUUGAGAUCCUCUUGCCUCAGCCUCCCAAGCCCCUGGGAUUACAGGUAUGUGCCACCAUGCCCGCCUUUUCUCAGGCUUUGGGAAUAACUCUCCAAUAAGUGUUGAUUGUAAGCCUUGGCUUAUUAAAGCUUGUCCCUUUGAGAUAGGAUUCUAAACAGCAAGGGUUAGUGAAAUGUGUGGAAUUGCAGGGUGGGCCUUUCAGCUGAUGCUGGAUUUCCACUGCAGUCAAGGCCACUGUUGCGAUGUAGCAACAGACUGGUCGAAGGUGGUAAUGGCCACAGUGAGAUUAGAGGGGACAGCACUAGGCUUCUAUAUUAGGAGCAGCCACAAAAGGAACCAGCAAUUUUGGAACCCCAGGAAAACUUCCUAAACGGCCCCACCACCAUUCUCUCCCGCGAGUCGGUCCUCAUUCCUCUCCCUAGCAACAGAGUC
rnacentral:lncRNA from 1 species